rnacentral:rRNA from 1 species
AUUGAACGCUGGCGGCAGGCCUAACACAUGCAAGUCGAGCGGAUGAAGGGAGCUUGCUCCUGGAUUCAGCGGCGGACGGGUGAGUAAUGCCUAGGAAUCUGCCUGGUAGUGGGGGAUAACGUCCGGAAACGGGCGCUAAUACCGCAUACGUCCUGAGGGAGAAAGUGGGGGAUCUUCGGACCUCACGCUAUCAGAUGAGCCUAGGUCGGAUUAGCUAGUUGGUGGGGUAAAGGCCUACCAAGGCGACGAUCCGUAACUGGUCUGAGAGGAUGAUCAGUCACACUGGAACUGAGACACGGUCCAGACUCCUACGGGAGGCAGCAGUGGGGAAUAUUGGACAAUGGGCGAAAGCCUGAUCCAGCCAUGCCGCGUGUGUGAAGAAGGUCUUCGGAUUGUAAAGCACUUUAAGUUGGGAGGAAGGGCAGUAAGUUAAUACCCUGCUGUUUUGACGUUACCAACAGAAUAAGCACCGGCUAACUUCGUGC